rnacentral:rRNA from 1 species
CUUAAAAGUGAAGUUGACGGGGCCGCACAAGCGGAGGAACAUGUGGUUUAAUUCGAUGAUACGCGAGGAACCUUACCUGGGCUUAAAUGUAGAGUGCAUGAGGUAGAAAUACUUCUUUCUUCGGAACUCUCUGCAAGGUGCUGCAUGGUUGUCGUCAGCUCGUGCCGUGAGGUGUCGGGUUAAGUCCCAUAACGAGCGCAACCCUUAUCGUUAGUUGCCAGCGGGUAAUGCCGGGACUCUAGCGAAACUGCCGGUGUAAACCGAGAGGAAGGUGGGAUGACGUCAAAUCAGCACGGCCCUUAUGUCCAGGGCUACACACGUGUUACAAUGGCCGGUACAGAGGGCAGCUACCUGGAGACAGGAUGCGAAUCUCGAAAGCCGGUCUCAGUUCGGAUCGGAGUCUGCAACUCGACUCCGUGAAGCUGGAUUCGCUAGUAAUCGCGCAUCAGCCAUGGCGCGGUGAAUACGUUCCCGGGCCUU